rnacentral:rRNA from 1 species
UACGUAGGGUGCGAGCGUUAAUCGGAAUUACUGGGCGUAAAGCGUGCGCAGGCGGUUUUGUAAGCCAGAUGUGAAAUCCCCGGGCUUAACCUGGGAAUGGCAUUCGGGACUGCAAGGCUCGAGUGCGGCAGAGGAGACUGGAAUUCCUGGUGUAGCAGUGAAAUGCGUAGAUAUCAGGAGGAACACCGAUGGCGAAGGCAGGUCUCUGGGCUGACACUGACGCUCAUGCACGAAAGCGUGGGGAGCAAACAGG